GACAGAGGUGGCAAGCGUUGUUCGGAAUUACUGGGCUUAAAGGGCGAGUAGGCGGUGGAACAAGUCUGAUGUGGAAUCCUAUGGCUUAACCAUAGAACUGCCUUAGAAACUGUUUUACUUGAGUCAGUGAGGGGAGGGCGGAAUUCCUGGUGUAGCGGUGAAAUGCGUAGAUAUCAGGAGGAAGGCCUGUGGCGAAGGCGGCCCUCUGGCACUGUACUGACGCUGAGGCGCGAAAGCGUGGGGAGCAAACAGG
rnacentral:rRNA from 1 species